UGAACGCUGGCGGCGUGCUUAACACAUGCAAGUCGAACGAGAAAGAUCAUUUCGGUGAUCGAGUAGAGUGGCGCACGGGUGAGUAACACGUGGAUAAUCUACCUUCAAGCCCGGGAUAACUAUUCGAAAGGAUAGCUAAUACCUGAUAAAGUAUAUAACUUUUAAGGUUAUAUAUGAAAGACAGCCUCUGAUUUAAGCUGUUGUUUGGAGAUGAGUCCGCGCACCAUUAGCUUGUUGGUGGGGUAAAGGCCUACCAAGGCAACGAUGGUUAGCUGGUCUGAGAGGAUGAUCAGCCACACUGGAACUGGAACACGGUCCAGACUCCUACGGGAGGCAGCAGUGAGGGAUUUUGCGCAAUGGGGGAAACCCUGACGCAGCAACGCCGCGUGAGUGAAGAAGGUCUUUGGGUCGUAAAGCUCUGUCAACAGGGAAGAAGUUACUAAUGUUUAAUAGAUGUUAGUAUUGACGGUACCUGUGAAGGAAGCACCGGCUAACUCC
rnacentral:rRNA from 1 species